rnacentral:rRNA from 1 species
GGACGCGCAUUCAAGCGUCCGCAUCAUCGGGUCAAACCGGUGGUGCGUGGCGUUGCGGGCUCGGUCCGCUGGAGGACCAGCGUGUCAACCGGCCCGCCCGUCCCCUCCUUCUGGAUUCCCGUUCCUGCUAUUGAGUUAGUGGGGACGUCACAGGGGAUCAUCCAUCGGGGGGUGGCAACACCAUCCGGUGGGUGGUCUCUGGGGCCCAGAUCGUUUACCGUGAAAAAAUUAGAGUGUUCAAAGCAGGCAGAUUUUUUACCAUUCUGCCACCGAAUACAUUAGCAUGGGAUAAUGGAAUAGGACCCUGUCCUCCUAUUUUCCGCGUUGGUUUUUGAGGACCAGGGUA